AAAGGACUGGGUUCAGAGGGCUUUUGGAGAGCUGGACAUGUGGAGGCCGACAGGAAGGUGAAGAAGUCAUCUGCGUGCUGUGAGGGUGGCGCACCCCAACUCCAUGGGGACAGAAGGUCCUGCAUUUAGGACCCUUCCAGACCUCACACCUAUGUAUCUCUUCAUCUGGCUGAUUACUUAUAUCCUUUCAAAGACGCUUCUUAGUAAACUGGACCACCUGAUAGGGUACUGAGGAUGGCUUCUGACCUGGAGGCAUCAAGGACCUGAAGGCAGUAACCAUUUCAGAGGACAGCCACAUCCCUCAAAUUACAAACAUCUAAAAUGUCCAUUAACUGUUGAGUGGAUAUAUAAAUUCUGAUGUUUUAUAAAAUGGCAUACCCUACAUCAAUGAAGAUGAAUGAAUUACUUCUGCAUAAAACAAUAUACAUGCAUCUAACCAAUAUGACACUGAGUGAAAAAAGACAUCCAUAGAAGAGCACAGCUCACCAUUCAGGAGCAUCACCCUGGUCCAAGCCACCUUCAGCUCUCACCUAGACUAACACAGUUCUUCCUGUCUCCAUGAGCCUCCUCUCCAGUUGCUGUAUUGCAAAUAACAAUCAAAACAGCAUUUAAAAGCAAAACAACAACAGCAAACAAAUGGUAUCUAUCCAGGUCUCACUGCAUUGUCCUCACGGCACUUGGGAGCCAGGGGAACUGACACGUGAUGUUCAUACUUACUGCUAUUCUCGGAGUAACAAAAAAAAAAUUCACUUUCUUCGACCAGGAGACAUCAUGUUUUCUACCAGCAUUCUUGAAACUAUGGCAAGUUAACUAGUUAUCAGGCAUUUCCUUGGAUCUGAAUCAUCCAUCAGCAUUGCUCAGAAAUCACGUCCUUUCCUUUCAUUCUGUCUCAUACAUUUUCCAGGUUCCACGUUUUGUAUGGGAGUCAGAGUGUGAUAGUUAAUUUUAUGCAUCAACUUGGCUAGACCAAUGUGCCCACAUACUUAGUCAAACAUUAUCUUG
rnacentral:lncRNA from 1 species